GAUGAACGCUGGCGGCGCGCCUAACACAUGCAAGUCGAACGAUUAAAGCACCUUCGGGUGUGUAUAAAGUGGCGAACGGCUGAGUAACACGUGGGCAACCUGCCCCUCUCAUUGGGAUAGCCACGGGAAACCGUGGAUAAUACCGAAUACUUCGGGACUUCCGCAUGGAAGACUCGAGAAAGCUCCGGCGGAGAGGGAUGGGCCCGCGGCCUGUUAGCUUGUUGGUGGGGUAACGGCCUACCAAGGCGAUGAUGCAUAGCCGAGUUGAGAGACUGAUCGGCCACAAUGGGACUGAGACACGGCCCAUACUCCUACGGGAGGCAGCAGUAGGGAAUCUUCCACAAUGGGCGCAAGCCUGAUGGAGCAACACCGCGUGAGUGAAGAAGGGUUUCGGCUCGUAAAGCUCUGUUGUUAAAGAAGAACACGUAUGAGAGUAACUGUUCAUACGUUGACGGUAUUUAACCAGAAAGUCACGGCUAACUACGUGCCAGCAGCCGCGGUAAUACGUAGGUGGCAAGCGUUAUCCGGAUUUAUUGGGCGUAAAGAGAGUGCAGGCGGUUUUCUAAGUCUGAUGUGAAAGCCUUCGGCUUAACCGGAGAAGUGCAUCGGAAACUGGAUAACUUGAGUGCAGAAGAGGGUAGUGGAACUCCAUGUGUAGCGGUGGAAUGCGUAGAUAUAUGGAAGAACACCAGUGGCGAAGGCGGCUACCUGGUCUGCAACUGACGCUGAGACUCGAAAGCAUGGGUAGCGAACAGG
rnacentral:rRNA from 1 species